rnacentral:misc_RNA from 1 species
UACGUAGGUGGCAAGCGUUGUUCGGAAUUAUCGGGCGUAAAGCGAGCGCAGGCGGUCUUUUAAGUCUGAUGUGAAAGCCCACGGCUCAACCGCGGAUGGUCAUUGGAAACUGGAAGACUUGAAUGCAGAAGAGGAAAGUGGAAUUCCAUGUGUAGCGGUGAAAUGCGUAGAUAUAUGGAGGAACACGAGUGGCGAAGGCGACUUUCUGGUCUGUAAUUGACGCUGAGGCUCGAAAGCGUGGGGAGCAAACAGG